rnacentral:rRNA from 1 species
CUCGUACCUUUUGCAUCAUGAUUUAGCCAGUGUUGACCAAGCAAAACGUGUUUUAGUUUGACAUCCCGAAACUGGGUGAGCUACUCCAAGACAGCCUAAUUAAAAGGGCCAACCCGUCUCUGUGGCAAAAGAGUGGGAAGAGCUUUGAGUAGAGGUGACAGACCUACCGAACCUAGUUAUAGCUGGUUGCCUGGGAAUUGAAUAGAAGUUCAGCCUCCCGGCUUCUUUCUUCACCUCAGAUCUUACCCUAACCUGAUACCCCAAAGAAACCGAGAGAGUUAGUCAAAGGGGGUACAGCCCCUUUGAAGCAAGACACAACUUUUUCAGGAGGAUAAAGAUCAUAUGAAACCAAAGGUAAAAUGUUCGGGUGGGCCUAAAAGCAGCCAUCCCCUUAGAAAGCGUUAAAGCUCGGACAUACAAACUACCCACUUAUUCUGACCAUUUAAUCUUAUUCCCCUAGACUUACCAGGCCGUUCCAUGCCCGCAUGGAAGUGACUAUGCUAAUAUGAGUAAUAAGAGGGCCCCGGCCCUCUCCCCGCACACGUGUAAGUCGGAACGGACCUCCCACCGACCCUUAACGGCCCCAAACAAAGAGGGAAUUGAACCUUACAACAAACAACAAGAAAACCCCACAAAAACUAACCGUUACCCCUACACAGGUGUGCCCCCAGGGAAAGACUAAGAGAAAGAGAAGGAACUCGGCAAACAUGAAAAGCCUCGCCUGUUUACCAAAAACAUCGCCUCUUGCAAAAAUAAAAAAUAAGAGGUCCCGCCUGCCCUGUGACUAUUAGUUUAACGGCCGCGGUAUUUUGACCGUGCGAAGGUAGCGCAAUCACUUGUCUUUUAAAUGAAGACCUGUAUGAAUGGCAUAACGAGGGCUUAACUGUCUCCUCUUUUAAGUCAAUGAAAUUGAUCUCCCCGUGCAGAAGCGGGGAUACUUCCAUAAGACGAGAAGACCCUAUGGAGCUUUAGACACCAAGGCAGCUCAUGUCAAAAACCCUGCAAUAAAAGAUUGAACCAAAUGAGCCCUGSCCUAAUGUCUUUGGUUGGGGCGACCGCGGGGAACUAAAUAACCCCCAUGUGGAAAGGGAAAACCUCUCCUAAAACCAAGAGCUACAGCUCUAAGCAACAGAAUUUCUGACCUCUAAGAUCCGGCAAUGCCGAUCAACGAACCGAGUUACCCUAGGGAUAACAGCGCAAUCCCCUUUUAGAGCCCAUAUCGACAAGGGGGUUUACGACCUCGAUGUUGGAUCAGGACAUCCUAAUG